AUGGGAGUCCAUUACAAAACAAGCUGUGUUAUAAUGGGCUUCUACUGUCCUGGAUCGAUUUUCCUCCUUUCUGCAGGAAGGGAAGCCUGCCGGCUGGCUGGCAUUGGGACACUGCGAUCCUGCAGCCCCAUCCUGCAGCCCCAUCCUGCGGCCCCAUCCUGCAGCCCCAUCCUGCGGCCCCAUCCUGCGGCCCCAUCCUGCAGCCCAGCGCCCUGCCUCCCCCGCUGGCCUGUGCGCCUUCAGCUGCUCACUUCCCCAGCUGAAUUUGCCCUGGCAGCCCUGUGGAGCAGGUCGGAGAGGAGAGAUGGAAGGUGGGCAGCGUUCUCCGGAGGCUACUGCGUGAUGUGCGGGGUCUGCAUAGAUGAUGAUGAGCAAGUAACGGCUGGCAUCGACCGAGGGCCUUCUAAGUGGCAGCCAGCGCUCUGGGCUCUCGCAGACAUUACUGUCUAGUCUUCACAGCUGCCCUGCUUGGUCUAACACAGGUGAGGACACCCACUCGGAGGGGUAAAGGGAUGCCCAGGUUGGGGUUUGAACCUGGGGCCACGUGCUUUGUGUGGGUGCUCACCCAAAGGCAAGCGGCAGGGGGGGCGGGAGGAGGCCAGCAGGUCCGUGCCUUGGUCCUCCCCUCCCCCGAGAGGCAUCAGGGCCCCUCUCAGAGCUCCUUGCGCUUGCCUGCUGAGGCCUGAGCUGGGAGAGGAGCGGCCACCCCUGUCCCCGGCCACCAGCCGGCAGCGCUGCUCUCCUGGCAAGCGGAUGCUCAGCUGUGCCUCCCCCCACCCUGCCCCGGGCCCAGCGCCCACUCUCUGUCCCUCCUUGUCCAGGGCUCCCCACAGCUGCCGGCAGACCACACCUGUAGACACUCAACUAAGGCUUCUGGAAGGAACACAACGUUGCUCCCUACCCCCUUCUACGUCCCUGCUGUCCUUGGGCCUGAGCAGGGGGCACUUCCAGGCACGAUCCCCAGAAUUCCUGCAUUUCAGGUGUCCCUCCAACCGGCCCCUACCGUGGCCUCUCUAUACCCAGGCAGUUCUAUUACUGGAAAGGAGAUGGGGGUGAGGGCAGGACCUGCAGGGUGAGUAAUAGAUAAAGUCAUUUAAAAAAUGCCUGCAAAUGGUAAGCCUGUUAGCUGUUAUUCUUAUUAUAACUGGGCUCCAUGAAUGCAGAGCUUAGGGACUUUGGCACCAAUGACCAGGUUUAAAGAGGGACAUUCAUUAAGCACUGGAAGAGCUUUGUCAGAUCUUGACCAUCUUUUCUGUCCCUAAGAAGGGCUGCUUUUAUACCAGGUCAGAAAGAGCUCACUGUACUUCUCUUAAAGAACCCCCCCUCCUCCCCUCCCAUCCCCUGGCCCAGGGCUGCAGCUCUCUGUUCUGUCCUCCACCAAGUCCAAGGCUUGCUCACCUCCUGGACACUGUCCACCUGAGAGCUCUUUGAGCGCAUGCCCUGCCCCGCCCCCAUCCCCCCUCAAGAGCCCCAAGCUAGAAGGACCUGCCUCUUAGAUGCUGGGGCUGGGGCAGCAUUGAGGAGGCUGUGGUUGUGCUUGCAGGAGAAGCCUUGUAGGCGUGUGUGUGUGUGUGUGUGUACGCGCGCGCGCAGGCAUGCCCACAGUUGAGUGUGCACACAUGUGCAUGUCCACAUAUCAAGGGUGUGUGUUGGGGGCAGUGGUGGUGGUGUAGCCCCAGACCUGGCCUUCAUUCAGACCCAUUCGUGGGUCUUCCCUGUUUGUGCAGGAGAAAUGGGGCUCACCUGGUGAGGGAGGGUGAUGGAAGCAUUUCCUGGAAAGGCUCCUCGCUCGGGCUAGACAGUGGGGCUGUGUGUGCCCUGUCUCUCUCCCAGCCUCUCGUCCCCAUCAGCCAACCACCUGUGAGCCUUCUUCCUCCCUGGGCUGAAGUGUGUAGCAUGUGUGGGGAGCAGAUGGGGGAUGGUGUCCCUGGGCUUUUUCUCCCAGCUUCCCUCAGCCAACUAUUUGCUGCCAGAUGGAUCUGGGUGCCGAUGGGGCGUGCACAGGGAACGGCAGCCAGCUCCCAGCCACCCCAUGGCCUUGCCCAAUGAGGUGGGACACAGUUAUGUUCUGGAAGUUCGGGGAUCUGAGCAGGACCCAGACCAACAGGAACUGAGCCUGGUAAAGAGAACUCUCAGCCCUCCACGAGGAAAGCCUUCUGGAGUCACUCCCGCCUCCCCCCGCCUCCCCACGCUGGGCUCCACACUGUCUGCCCUCCCUGGGAAUCUUCAGCCCACCAACUCUGCUUGAGCACGGACUCCAGCCUCUUAUCCUUUUGCUGUUUUAUUUAUUGCACAAACACCACUGUAAGAGCAAUAACAUAAACCAAAGGAAAAAAUCUCCCUCUGUUUCAUGACCUUAACAGACAAGCUGUUCAAUUUUCUUUGUUCCCUUCCCUGUCCAUAUUACCUCCCUCCUCCCUCCACCGCACCCCACUCCACUCUUUGGCUUCCUUCCUUGCCAUAAGAGGAAAGGAGGGCAGGUUCCAGCACCUUCUGCAGCCUGCCGGGCUCUGCCCCCCUCACCUGGGGUAGGGGACGAGACAGGCCUGCAGCACAGAGGCUUGGGUGCCAUCGUUGGCUGGCUGCCUCUCAGGAGCUGAGCUGGACCGGCCUGCGCACCCUGGGCUUGGCAGCUCCUUGGCUGGCUCCCCCCAGGGGUCUGAGCACCCAGGCCCAGUUGGCUGCUCUAACUGGAAAGCUGGGGGCAGGCGGAAAGGGGACAGAAAUGCAACCUGAACACGGGCCAGAGUCGGGGAGACCAGGGAUCUGGGCUGGAUGGAUGACUAGCAAUUGUUUUGCUUUCUUGCCCUCGUCGCAGUCCUGCUCACUCCCCAAAGAGGAUAUUAAGAGCUGUUUUUCUGGGGAUGGUGUGAUUCAGUCAUUUCUAGCUCCCAGACUUCCCAAUCGAGGUAUGUGGACACUCUGAAUUACCUGUCAUCAGUGAGGAGGGGCUCUCGGCUUCAGGCUCCCAGGCUCCGGUCGCUCAGAGCCUUAUCCAGUGUGAGCCAUCAAGGCUUGACUCGGGGAGAAAAUCGUACCCAAGGUCUGGAGAAGGUGUAGCAGGGGAGGGCAGGCGUGGGUUAACUUCCCACUCUGACCAUUCGGGCUUGAGGCCUCCGACUUCUCAUCUGUUGAGUGGAAGGAAUGGCAGCCUGCCUGCAGACUUCACGGGGCAUCUGAGGGGUCAUCAGAGGGGAGGGGGUAUGUGUGAUCCCUGACUCCAGCCUUUCCACGGAGCCACCUCACCUGCCCACAGGCCAGCAUCCUAACCACUCUCACGCACGGCCAGGGAACUCUCUCCCCAGGGCUGGACCUCUUAGCCAAGAGCUUGAGUGGAGCUAGUGGGUUAAAGGGAGAGCGGAAUAAAGUCAAACCGUAGCCCGUAGCA
ensembl:lncRNA